rnacentral:rRNA from 1 species
GACGAACGCUGGCGGCGUGCUUAACACAUGCAAGUCGAACGAUGAAGCCGGAGCUUGCUCUGGUGAAUUAGUGGCGAACGGGUGAGUAACACGUGAGUAACCUGCCCUUGACUCUGGGAUAACUGCGGGAAACUGUAGCUAAUACCGGAUACGACCCUCGGAGGCAUCUCCUGGGGGUGGAAAGAAUUUCGGUCAAGGAUGGACUCGCGGCCUAUCAGCUAGUUGGUGAGGUAACGGCUCACCAAGGCGACGACGGGUAGCCGGCCUGAGAGGGGGACAGGCCACACUGGGACUGAGACACGGCCCAGACUCCUACGGGAGGCAGCAGUGGGGAAUAUUGCACAAUGGGCGCAAGCCUGAUGCAGCGACGCCGCGUGAGGGAUGACGGCCUUCGGGUUGUAAACCUCUUUCAGCACCGACGAAGCGCAAGUGACGGUAGGUGCAGAAGAAGGACCGGCCAACUACGUGCCAGCAGCCGCCGUAA